rnacentral:misc_RNA from 1 species
GAUGAAGAACGCAGCGAAAUGCGAUAAGUAAUGUGAAUUGCAGAAUUCAGUGAAUCAUCGAAUCUUUGAACGCACAUUGCGCCCCCUGGUAUUCCGGGGGGCAUGCCUGUCCGAGCGUCAUUACAACCCUCAAGCUCAGCUUGGUGUUGGGCCCCGCCGCCCCGGCGGCCCCUAAAGUCAGUGGCGGUGCCGUCCGGCUCCGAGCGUAGUAAUUCUUCUCGCUCUGGAGGUCCGGUCGUGUGCUCGCCAGCAACCCCCAAUUUUUUUCAGGUUGACCUCGGAUCAGGUAGGGAUACCCGCUGAACUUAAGCAUAUCAAUAAGCGGAGGA